UACGUAGGGGGCAAGCGUUGUCCGGAUUUAUUGGGCGUAAAGAGCGUGUAGGCGGCUUGGUAGGUCCGCUGUGAAAACUCGAGGCUCAACCUCGAGAUGUCGGCGGAAACCACUUGGCUAGAGUCCGGAAGAGGAGAGUGGAAUUCCUGGUGUAGCGGUGAAAUGCGCAGAUAUCAGGAAGAACACCUAUGGCGAAGGCAGCUCUCUGGGACGGUACUGACGCUGAGACGCGAAAGCGGUGGGGAGCGAAGCAGG
rnacentral:rRNA from 1 species